CGCGUGCGUGUGAUGUAAUUUCGUCAUCAGCAGCGGACAUCUUGGGACUUGUCGCGACAUUUAGCAGUCUUCAAUUUUCGCGCUCAACUCCUGCACGCUACGAUAUAGAAGUUGGCAACACUGCGGUUACUAGAGAAGAGGACAUCAAAAGGGUAUAUCCAAACAGUGAGGUGCAUGCUGUUCUGUCAAAGUAUCAAGAGGGAAAGUCUCUGGUCCUGUGCAUCCUGCAACUCUUAAUGGCCCAUUUUAAAGAGAGAACAGAAUCCCUUCUAUUUGAAGCUGAUUUAAGUAGCAGCAACUGCAACCGACAUGGAAAAAAAUGGAUUACCGGAUUCACCCGCACUGAUCUUUCAAGAUGAAUCCAUGACCCCUAGCAAGUGGAUGUUGUCAGUCGAAAGGGAAGUUGUCUUUGGCCCAUGUUCAGAGGCAUUUGUUGAGGGCCUGGCAGCAUUGUUUGCGACCUAUUACAACUUAAACCUUGCUUAUCAGGAUGAAGCUGCAUGCACCCUAGAAUUUAUUCAGAGGUAUGUCAGAACAAACUCUUACUGAAUAUUUAUUGUAGACAUCCAAAUUUCCAUUACUUUUUUUAGGUUUACAGGUUUGGAUGGCUUAUCAGGAUUAGAUGUUUUUUGGAAAAGUUUUCAAACCGCAAAAAAAUGCUUACUGCACACUGAAUUGAGUACAUACAACCAAAGUCCAGCAAAAAUAUUUUAUAAAAAAAUCUAUUACAAAAUAUGCAAACAAAUAUAAAACUAUACAAAUAAUGCAGAACCAUAAAAAAAAAUUAUUAGAAAAAAUAACAAAAAUAACAGGGGAAAAAAGGGCA
ensembl:lncRNA